UUUUCGCCUUCGUUCCAGUUUCACGUAUUGCUUAGUAACGAUUCCGAUCAUGGCUCAGAUUGAACGCUGGCGGGAUGCUUUACAUGCAAGUCGAACGGCUUGGCACGGACUUUCGGUCUGGUGGCGAGUGGCGAACGGGUGAGUAAUGUAUCGGAACGUGCCUAGUAGCGAGGAUAACUACACGCGAAAGCGUAGCUAAUACCGCAUACGCCCUUCGGGGAAAGCGGGGGACCUUCGGGCCUCGCACUAUUAGAGCGGCCGAUAUCGGAUUAGCUAGUUGGUGGGGUAACGGCUCACCAAGGCGACGAUCCGUAGCUGGUUUUGAGAGGACGACCAGCCACACUGGGACUGAGACACGGCCCAGACUCCUACGGGGAGCAGCAGUGAAAUUUUGGACAAUGGGGGAAACCCUGAUCCAGCCAUCCCGCGUGUGCGAUGAAGGCCUUCGGGUUGUAAAGCACUUUUGGCAGGAAAGAAACGGCACGGGAUAAUACACCCCGUGCAACUGACGGUACCUGCAGAAUAAGCACCGGCUAACUACGUGCCAGCAGCCGCGUCAAUAAUACGUAGGGUGCAAGCGUUAAUCGGAAUUACUGGGCGUAAAGCGUGCCAAGGCAGGUUCGGAAAGAAAGAUGUGAAAUCCCAGAGCUUAACUUUGGAACUGCAUUUUUAACUACCGAGCUAGAGUGUGUCAGAGGGAGGUGGAAUUCCGCGUGUAGCAGUGAAAUGCGUAGAUAUGCGGAGGAACACCGAUGGCGAAGGCGGCCUCCUCAGGAUAACACUGGCGACGCUCAUGCACGAAAGCGUGGGGGAGCAAACAGGAUUAGAUACCCUGAUGAAGUCACGCCUAAACGAUGUCAACUAGCUGUUUGGGCCUUCGGGCCUUGGUAGCGCAGCUAACGCGUGAAGAUGAUACCGCCUGGGGGAGUACGGUCGCAAGAUUAAAACUCAAAGGAAUUGACGAGGACCGCACAAGCGGUGGAUGAUGUGGAUUAAUUCGAUGCAACGCCGAAAAGCCUUACCUACCCCUUGACAUGUCUGGAAUCCCGAAGAGAUUUGGGAGUGCUCGCAAAGAGAACCGGAACACAGGUGCUGCAUGGCUGUCGUCAGCUCGUGUCGUGAGAUGUUGGGUUAAGUCCCGCAACAGAGGCGCAACCCUUGUCAUUAAGUUGCUACGAAAGGGCACUCUAAUGAGACUGCCGGUGACAAACCGGAGGAAGGUGGGGAUGACGUCAAGUCCUCAUGGCCCUUAUGGUGCGAGCUUCACACGUCAUGCAAUGAAUCGGGACAGAGGUCGCCAACCCUUGAGGAGCCAAUCAGAAGCGAUCGUAGUCCGGAUCGCAGUCUGCAACUCGACUGCGUGAAGUCGGAAUCGCUAGUAAUCGCGGAUCAGCAUGUCGCGGUGAAUACGUUCCGGGUCUUGUACACACCGCCCGUCACACCAUGGAGUGGGUUCACCAGAAGUAGUUAGCCUAGCCGUAAGGGCGAUUACGGUAAGUUCAUGACUGGGGGUGAAGUCGUAACAAAGGUAA
rnacentral:rRNA from 1 species